rnacentral:lncRNA from 1 species
CGCGGCCUUGCCUUCUCGGCGGGUCGGUUUGUUGACGUACCGCAGGGUCACUAGGGGCAGUGCCCCGGGGUGUCAGAGCAGCCACAGUCAAAGGUUCGGAUGCCUCAGCAGGGGAAACAGUUGGACCACACGCCUUGACAUUCAGUUGAACAUCUAAAAUUAGGCAUGUUACAUUCAGUUGCUGAGGGGACAGUUUCAGUACUUCAUGGCAUUCAUUGGAUAGAACUUGCAAGUGCAAGUAUUCAGAAACAAUUA